rnacentral:rRNA from 1 species
UAGAGAAUUUCGGUCAUCGAUGGGGAUGCGUUCCAUUAGCUUGUUGGCGGGGUAACGGCCCACCAAGGCAUCGAUGGAUAGGGGUUCUGAGAGGAAGGUCCCCCACAUUGGAACUGAGACACGGUCCAAACUCCUACGGGAGGCAGCAGUGAGGAAUAUUGGUCAAUGGGCGCUAGCCUGAACCAGCCAAGUAGCGUGAAGGAUGACUGCCCUAUGGGUUGUAAACUUCUUUUAUAUGGGAAUAAAGUGCAGUAUGUAUACUGCUUUGCAUGUACCUUAUGAAUAAGGAUCGGCUAACUCCGUGCCAGCAGCCGCGGUAAUACGGAGGAUCCGAGCGUUAUCCGGAUUUAUUGGGUUUAAAGGGAGCGUAGGCGGGUUGUUAAGUCAGUUGUGAAAGUUUGCGGCUCAACCGUAAAAUUGCAGUUGAUACUGGCAUCCUUGAGUACAGUAGAGGUAGGCGGAAUUCGUGGUGUAGCGGUGAAAUGCUUAGAUAUCACGAAGAACUCCGAUUGCGAAGGCAGCCUGCUGGACUGUAACUGACGCUGAUGCUCGAAAGUGUGGGUAUCAAACAGGAUUAGAUACCCUGGUAGUCCACACAGUAAACGAUGAAUACUCGCUGUUUGCGAUAUACAGUAA